AUGGAUCCCGUUGCCGCAGGGUUUAUUCUUGGUUCGACGAGGGUUCAUGAUGUCAUUGCCCUUCACUCCUCUGUGGUCACUGCGUUGCCUGAUGAGGUUCGGUAUGCUAAUGGUGUGGUAGCUGGUGUUGACAAGGUUGGACAAAUUAAUGGCGAUGUUACAAUUCUGUAUGCAAAGCGCAUGGGCAGUCCACUCCCACCAAUUGGAUUUGCAGAUCUCUCUCCCAAUGAAAAUGAAUGUGAAAAAGUGGUGACCUUGUUCCCAUACAAGGCCGGAACCGCAAUUUUCAAGGGACAUAUCGUGUUAAAAGAUUCCACAUCCAUGACGUCUGGGGUCGAUGCGGUGGUCUUGCAAGCAUCCGUAGGCACGUUUGCCUUUAGCUGCCCUUACGCCGCCGCUUACUCCACAAAGAACAUGUAUGAACUACUUGAGACGCAGGCUCUAACUGUUGGUGCAGCUGUAUUCAAUCUACAGGGCAGGGUCGUAGGUGUGCUGAGUGCAUGUGGUAUGACUUAUGAUGUGAAAUUGGCGAACAAGACAGGAUACCUGAGUGAUCUGUUUCUGAGACUCCAAAACAAUCAAGUGGAUGUGAACUGGCUGAAGGGGGAAGAUGUACGCUAUUAG
rnacentral:rRNA from 1 species